rnacentral:rRNA from 1 species
UACGGAGGGGACUAGCGUUGUUCGGAAUUACUGGGCGUAAAGCGCACGUAGGCGGAUUGCUAAGUCAGGGGUGAAAUCCUGGAGCUCAACUCCAGAACUGCCCUUGAUACUGGCGGUCUCGAGUCCGGGAGAGGUGAGUGGAACUGCGAGUGUAGAGGUGAAAUUCGUAGAUAUUCGCAAGAACACCAGUGGCGAAGGCGGCUCACUGGCCCGGUACUGACGCUGAGGUGCGAAAGCGUGGGGAGCAAACAGG